UUUUUCUAUUUUUCUUUCUCUUCCCUUCCCUUCUUCUUCCAGCCGCCGACACCCCUCCUUCCUCAAAUUUUUCCUCCCCACCGUCAAGCCUAAGUAACCUCUAGCCAUUUGUCUAUGCCGGAUCUAACGAGUUGACGUCGCGUCGCUCCCAAUCGACACCUCAGACAACCGCACGUCCAUCCGAAGUAAAGCGCUACUCCUCGUCUGCGUUCUAAAGCCACCGGCGUUGUUAGCCCGCGCCGCGCUAGAUCCAGAGUUCACCAGCCUCGACUUCAGCGUCAGCCACUCCCUCACCUAGUCAAGUCGCUCGUUUGGAUCUUCUCUCCCAUCCGAGCCUAGUAGUCGAACUCCAUCGCUGCUCGCCGCCGAUCUCGACCAGCCGGCCAGUCGCAUCCGUCCAACCGUCGCCCUACUCGUUCAGCCACCGUCGUUCAGUCUCUCGGCCGCUGAAUGUUUGUUAGGGUUAGAUUGAAGUUUUGAGAAAAUUCUGAGGCGCUGUCUAGCUUCGUGGAAGGGAAAAUUUUGAUCCAAGAUUGAAGUAGUUUGGAGUGCGCAACGUGCUGUUCAGCGGGUUCGAGUUUGUAUCCAACAAGAAAUUUGGUUUGAGGUCGCUGUCCAUCAGAAUUAGAGAUUGUUUUUCCUUGUGGAUUUUAGUGGACAUUUUGGAGCCAAAGUCUGGAAGUGACCGUUGAUCAAGCCACACUUUAGGUUAAUUUGAGUUUCAUUAUCGAGUAGUUGUUUGGAGGGAAAUAUUUGGACUUGUGAAUUGAGGUAAAGGUAGAGAUGCACCGAUGAUUGACAAGCGGAAUUCGUGAUUGAGCCACUAGGACCAGUUUUAUACUUCCGUUCAUGAGAUUUAGAUUUCUUUUCAUGUUUUUUUAAAACUUCCAGUUUUGAUGUUUGAAACUUACCAUUAAGAAUUGUUUUCAGACUUAUUUAUUAUCAUUUAUGAUUUAUGGGUA